AUUUUUUUAGUAUAAAAAGUAUAUUUGACUUCCAAUCAUAAGGUCUUAAAUUAAGAAAAAAUA
rnacentral:tRNA from 1 species